rnacentral:sRNA from 1 species
AAAGAUCUGUUGAAGAGUGAGUAAGAGGGACCCUGGACUAGGGUGGAGGAUCCCCAAAUCUCCCCACCCCCGACCCUUAUGCCGAGAUCAAGGAAGGGUAGGGCCAUUCAUUACUUCCCACCCUUCCCAAAUGUCACAGUGGUUGACACUCAGUUGGUGCUAAGGCCAUUUUGUCAAAUGAACAGCUUUCUCAGCAUGUGGUCCAGUCACCACUCAAUCAGAAUACCCCAAAUGUGAAGCAAAGGGAUCUGCAUUUUAGCAAGUUUUCCAGGUGAUACACCCUAAUGAGACACUGGGAAUGAAUGGGUGAGUGAGCUGCAGGUAGCAGUGCCACAGACAGGAGGAGGAAACUCAAGCAUGGCAUGGGUCUUGGAAUUUUCCAUCUGCCUCUGAUGCCCUCUGGCACUGCUCGUUCUCUGGAGUGGUUUCCUGGUGGCUUAUUCUCUGGACACAUGCCAGCCCUUGGAGUGACUAUUGUGCUUGCCUGUUUCUUCACCUUCAUGCUCCCCUCACCAUCACCAUAGGCCUUACCAGUUGAACCCUUUCUGCCACCCCCUCUGGGGAUACUGUACUUAGGGACACUUUUUCCCAAACUGGCCCAUACUCUCCUCCCCAGUAAAAAGAUCUCACUGUUCUUCUGGGCUCCUUCCCCAGGCAAGUUGCUCCCUGAGCUGCUCCAACCUUAUACAGAACGUGUGGAACAUCUGAGUGAGUUCCUGGUGGACAUCAAGCCCUCCUUGACUUUUGAUGUCAUCCCCCUGCUGGACCCCUAUGGGCCCGCUGGCUCUGACCCCUCCCUGGAGUUCCUGGUGGUCAGCGAGGAGACCUAUCGUGGGGGGAUGGCCAUCAACCGCUUCCGCCUUGAGAAUGUAACCCCUGAGGGAGACUGGCAGAGGGAGUGGAUGGGGGACGGGGAAGGCCAUUUUGAGGGGGCUGUUGGAAGUACCAUGGCCCCAGAGGAGAGAAGUGGGGGCUCAGGGUGGUGGGAAGAAGCAAGGAGGAACUGGUUCUCAGUUUGCCCGCUGAGUCGGAGGAGGAGGAGCCUGGGUAGGAAGGGGAGGAUGGGGGGGCAGGUUGGAUGUCAGGGUCUUCCUCUCACUCCCUCCUUCCCUCUUUUUACCCUUUCCUCUUUACCCCAGGACCUGGAGGAACUUGCUUUGUACCAGAUCCAGCUGCUGAAGGACCUCAGACAUACAGAGAAUGAAGAGGACAAAGUCAGCUCCUCCAGCUUCCGCCAGCGAAUGUUGGGGAACCUGCUUCGGCCUCCAUAUGAAAGGCCAGAGCUCCCCACGUGUCUCUAUGUAAUUGGGCUGACUGGCAUCAGUGGCUCUGGGAAGAGCUCAAUAGCUCAGCGACUGAAGGGCCUGGGGGCGUUUGUCAUUGACAGUGACCACCUGGGUCAUCGGGCCUAUGCCCCAGGUGGCCCUGCCUACCAGCCUGUGGUGGAGGCCUUUGGAACAGAUAUUCUCCAUAAAGAUGGCGUCAUCAACAGGAAGGUCCUAGGCAGCCGGGUGUUUGGGAAUAAGAAGCAGCUGAAGAUACUCACGGACAUUAUGUGGCCAAUUAUCGCAAAGCUGGCCCGAGAGGAGAUGGAUCGGGCUGUGGCUGAGGGAAAGCGUGUGUGCGUGAUUGAUGCCGCUGUGUUGCUUGAAGCCGGCUGGCAGAACCUGGUCCAUGAGGUGUGGACUGCUGUCAUCCCUGAGACUGAGGCUGUAAGACGCAUUGUGGAGAGGGAUGGCCUGAGUGAAGCCGCAGCUCAAAGCCGGCUGCAGAGCCAGAUGAGCGGGCAGCAGCUUGUGGAACAGAGCCACGUGGUGCUCAGCACCUUGUGGGAGCCGCAUAUCACCCAACGCCAGGUGGAGAAAGCCUGGGCCCUCCUGCAGAAGCGCAUUCCCAAGACUCAUCAGGCCCUCGACUGAAAAGUUCUCAGUGGGGCCAGACUGGCUCCUGGAGCUGACAAGCGACCCCGUGGUGAGGAGAAAUGGGGGCCUUGAUGCUCACCCUGGUUCAGGCCCAGAGGUCCAAGCUAUACUGUGCAGGACAUGGCCAGGCCUGGUGGACACAGGAAGCCUACCCAACACGCUGGUAUUUGGCCAACACUGAGGAUGUGGUUCGUGGGGGAGCAGUCCCCUCCCCACUCUUGCCCAUGGGUGACUCUUACCCACAGCUGACUAGGGCCAGCACAAAUACUGGAACCUGUAACAGAAUUAAAGGUGAAUGUUCUG